rnacentral:lncRNA from 1 species
AAAACUGAUAUUAUCAUUAAGGGAUUAAAAAUUUUGGAGUGAGACUUUUUUUUCUCCCAUUGUUUUAUUUUUAGACAGGGUCUCUAAGUUGCUUAGGGCCUCCCUAAAUUGUUGAGGCUGGUCUCCAACCAGUGAUACUCCUGUCUCAACCUCCUAAGUUGCUGGGAUUACAUGCAUGAGCCACCAUGCCUGGUUUGACAUUGAAAUUUCAACUUAUUUUUUGAGAUUUGAGUUCUACUCUAUUUGAGCUGACACAUCAGAGUCCUUCUAAAAAAGAAGGGUAAAUGUAAUGGACUAAUAUAGUAUGCAUCACUAAAUGAAUACCAGGACUGUCUACUCAAAUAAGGCUCAAACAUACCUUGUCUAUUCCUUCUGAACAGUGGUUAGGGCUCUUUGCUCAGUAAAUGGUCACAAUCCACAUAAUAAGAGUUUGUGAACAGAAGCUAUGAGAAAACACUGUUGUUCAAAUAUUGACAAAUACAACUGUAAUUCAAUAGAUAUUAUUAGAAUUGUGUACAGAAUAUUAUUUUUAGUGAUAAAAUGCAGUUUGCAAUCAUACAGUGUUCUUUCUUUGGGGGAGAUAACUGAAUGAUACUAAUGAAAUUCAUAGCUUCACAAAAGAAGCAAGUACAAGGUUAUUCUAGGAAAAGGUACAUAGCACUGUGCCAUAGGUCAGUCCCCACGAAGCCCACUUUUAGAAUUGUAUGAUCCUUGAGGUAGAGAGUUGGGCCUUAAUUCAAUCACCUCACUGUGCACCAGGCAUUGGAGAAAAGUUGCCCUCUGGGAAGGAAUGUGACUCAGAGGGAGGUAGAGAUGACUUUGCAGGGCCGAAGUCAAAUAGGAAUUCACCUGAGAGGGAUCAGCCACCAACUGUUGUCCACUGCAGCGAUGAGGAUCUGUGCAAAGGAGUGUGACUUGCACUGCGGGAUACACUGUAUCCUGGGUCCACUAACUGUUCUCUACAGAUUCUCACCUUUCUCCAUCUCACACAAAAAGGGGGUGAGAUUUAUAGGAGCUGUCCUGGUUGUGUUAUGCAGACCUGCUGCUGAGUGGGUGCUGUUCUUUCCAUAGAACUUUCUAUGAUCUUCAAGGGCUGAUGUGCAGAUUAGAUUCAGAAACAAGUAAACACAGGAAAAGCCUUUCAGAGACCACCAAAUAAGCUUAUUUUCAAAAUUACCAUUCUUUGUUACUUCCUUUCUGUCUCCCACCAACCAAAUUAUUUCCAUUUCAGGGUAUCAUGAUUUUCACCUAAUGACUGGGAUAUUUGGGUGAGAAAAGAUUUUGCUCUCUUUAUGUAUAUAUUCACCUGUGUAAUGUAAUGGCCAUCAAAUUGAUCCUGAUAGAAUUCAUAACACUACUCUUCAGGGCUAAAAAUUUCCCAACCAAAUAGUCUUAUUUCCUUGGUUUUUAGAAAAAGCUCUUUCAUCAAUUUUCUUCUAGGAAAAAGAAAGUAAGAAAAUGUACUUUAAAGUGCCUAAAAAAUUGUUUUCUUUGUGUAAAAGCUUAGUGUUCCAAGGUUAAA